rnacentral:rRNA from 1 species
AGCGAACGCUGGCGGCAGGCCUAACACAUGCAAGUCGAACGAACCUUCCGGGGUUUGUGGCGGACGGGUGAGUAACACGUGGGAACGUUCCUUUAGGUUCGGAAUAACUCAGGGAAAGUUGUGCUAAUACCGAAUGGGCCCUUCUGGGGAAAGAUUUAUCGCCUCUAGAGCGGCCCGCGUCUGAUUAGCUAGUUGGUUGAGUUAAUGGCUCACCAAAGCGACGUUCAGUAGUUGGUCUGUGAGGAUCGUCCGACACAUUGGGACUGAGACACGGCCGAAACUCUUCCGCGAUGGGGGAGUGGGGGACCGUGCGACAUCGCGGGAGGGAUGAAGGUGCCAGGACGGGUAAACGAUGAUGGUAUUGAGAUUGUAAAAUUCUUUCAACUAUGACCAUCAUGACGGUACCUAGAGAAAAAGCCACGGCUAACUACGUG